rnacentral:lncRNA from 1 species
AGGUCCCAAAAAAAGCAACCUUUGGUCCCCUUCAACUCGUCCUUUGCUCCCCGGCCCUCCCUCUCUCUCAAUCAUGUACCUCCGACGUCGCCGGUACUGGCCCAUCUCCGACGCCGGUCGCCCUCGCCGCGGCCGCGGCGCUUUCGGCGGGUCGGGGAUCGCGCACGGGGGACGCUUCAACACGGUUCCUUGCUCCUCACCGUGCAGUGCGCAUUAAUUCAGUGUAACUUGUCUCUGAAUCAUUCUCUGCAGGAUCCUUGUCUGCGACCUGACCUGCAGCGCCACUGAAUUUUCAGGAAACCAUGUACAAUAAUAAUCGUAAUAAUAACCUCCUGCAGAUUCAUGCAACGUAGAUUGAUGUGGAUGUCGUCCAUAACGAAUCGCCAAGUAUCAAUGAGCAAUGAAUUGAGCUGGAGAGAAAAUUAGACACGUAGAUACAUCAUACUCCGUCUACAUCUGUAGGUAACCAACUGAAAGGCAAGUAGUUCAAGGAGCCUUACACGAUCAAGUAAGGUGGUACACAUCAGUGGUGUGUCAUACGUAUAAGUUUGUGAAACAUAUUCGGUUAGUUAUAUCUAUGUGCUCGGCAAAGAUCAAGAGAUCCUGCCUGCGUAGAAAACAUCUUUAAUAAAGAUCAAGAAAUCAAAGGGCGGAAUGUUUUCAAAAUGAA